AGGUAUAGAAGACUCUCUAUGCUGCCCUCUUGAAUAAUGCCCCAAGAAUGCAUGCCUUUCCUGAUCAUUCUGUGAAAUAUUGCUGAGUAAAGGAACGAGUGAAUUGUAGAUGGAUAAAUAUCUAAACAAACUUUGGUCAUGCUGCAAGCCUAGUGGAAAGCCUGAUUCUUCUGGGUAUUGGUCAAGGAACACCCACCCCAGAAUGGAAGUCAUUUAGCAGGAAAGCAGUGGUCUGCUAUUCUCUGAGCACCAUUGACCACUUAUUGGAUUGUGGAAGAGACCUAACUCAAAUUUGGACCAAGAAGUGACUUGAAAUCAAGAUCUCUCCCCAGAAGAGACAACAAUGAAUAGUGCUGUUCACGAGGAGUUGCUGGCUCAGCAGGCCUCUUUGUCUCUGUGCUCAUGACAAGGACAUAUCACCUAACUCUGGGCUCUGGCUCACUUAGUAGCUUCUUUGCCGUUGGACUCUCACACCGAGAUGUCACCGAGCAGCAGCCUUUCCCAGGAAGUUGUUAAGGAGAUGGGAAUCCUCAUGCCUGCUGCUUUUUCCCAAAUCAGAGGAAGCCCGGGAGCCAGUUGCAGUAAAGUCUUGCCAGUAACGUUUCUCUUAAGAACGAGAAAGCUACUCAAAGAAAUGAUCUCUUCCUGGAUGUUGUGGUCCACGAAUAUUAUGUCUGGAACAUCAGAGCCAUCUUGUCUCCAUGAUGGGAGUUCCAUCUAAAGACAAAGUCAAAACCCAGCAGAGGACACAGCUGAAGGAACACGAGAAAGUGGCAUGGAAACGCUGAAGCCCCAGCACCGGCAGACCUCAGUUAUUGGGGCCAAUCAACCUCUUGUUACUGUUCAAGCGAGUUUGGAAACGUUGUCAGAGACCCACAACAGAAAACAACUCAAACAGCGUAUGUUUUAACUGUGAUUAAAAUCCUGUUUUAGGCCA
rnacentral:lncRNA from 1 species